rnacentral:ncRNA from 2 species
GCGAACUGCGCGGGAGAGAUCGCCGGCUAGGCGAGGCGGAAGCCUCGCCCGUGACCGGCGACGCCGACGGAGCAACGGCCCGGAACCUCUCAGGCACCAGGGACCGCGCAGGGAUG